CGGGAAACUGGGGAUAAUACCCCAUAGACUAUGGAUGCUGGAAUGCUUCGUAGUUGAAAGGUCCGCCGCUGUAGGAUGGGUCUGCGGCCGAUUAGGUUGUUGUUGGGGUAACGGCCCAACAAGCCUGUAAUCGGUACGGGUUGUGGGAGCAAGAGCCCGGAGAUGGAUUCUGAGACACGAAUCCAGGCCCUACGGGGCGCAGCAGGCGCGAAAACUUUACAAUGCGGGAAACCGUGAUAAGGGAACUCUGAGUGCCCGUAAAAUCGGGCUGUCCAUCAGUUUAAAUAACUGGUGAAGAAAGGGCCGGGCAAGACCGGUGCCAGCCGCCGCAGUAAUA
rnacentral:rRNA from 1 species